UACGUAGGGUGCAAGCGUUAAUCGGAAUUACUGGGCGUAAAGCGUGCGCAGGCGGUUGUGCAAGACAGAUGUGAAAAUCCCCCGGGCUCAACCUGGGGAAUUGCAUUUGUGACUGUACGGCUAGAGUGUGUCAGAGGGGGGUAGAAUUCCACGUGUAGCAGUGAAAUGCGUAGAGAUGUGGAGGAAUACCGAUGGCGAAGGCAGCCCCCUGGGAUAACACUGACGCUCAUGCACGAAAGCGUGGGGAGCAAACAGG
rnacentral:rRNA from 1 species